rnacentral:rRNA from 1 species
CAGCAGCCGCGGGAAUACGUAGGUGGCAAGCGUUGUCCGGAAUUAUUGGGCGUAAAGGGCUCGCAGGCGGUUUCUUAAGUCUGAUGUGAAAGCCCCCGGCUCAACCGGGGAGGGUCAUUGGAAACUGGGAAACUUGAGUGCAGAAGAGGAGAGUGGAAUUCCACGUGUAGCGGUGAAAUGCGUAGAGAUGUGGAGGAACACCAGUGGCGAAGGCGACUCUCUGGUCUGUAACUGACGCUGAGGAGUGAAAGCGUGGGGAGCGAACAGGAUUAGAUACCCGCGUAGUCCCUGUCUCUUAUAC